rnacentral:rRNA from 1 species
GGUUAAGCGACUAAGCGUACACGGUGGAUGCCCUGGCAGUCAGAGGCGAUGAAGGGCGUGCUAAUCUGCGAUAAGCGCCGGUAAGGUGAUAUGAACCGUUAUAACCGGCGAUACCCGAAUGGGGAAACCCAGUGUGAUUCGUCACACUAUCAUUAACUGAAUCCAUAGGUUAAUGAGGCGAACCGGGGGAACUGAAACAUCUAAGUACCCCGAGGAAAAGAAAUCAACCGAGAUUCCCCCAGUAGCGGCGAGCGAACGGGGAGGAGCCCAGAGCCUGAAUCAGCAUGUGUGUUAGUGGAAGCGUCUGGAAAGGCGCGCGAUACAGGGUGACAGCCCCGUACACAAAAGCGCAUGUGCUGUGAGCUCGAUGAGUAGGGCGGGACACGUGGUAUCCUGUCUGAAUAUGGGGGGACCAUCCUCCAAGGCUAAAUACUCCUGACUGACCGAUAGUGAACCAGUACCGUGAGGGAAAGGCGAAAAGAACCCCGGCGAGGGGAGUGAAAAAGAACCUGAAACCGUGUACGUACAAGCAGUGGGAGCCCCACCACCAAAGCAUUCUCUGGUGUUGAAGGCCCUGCAAAGCAGCAUCGCGGUGGCGGAGCGUCGUUUGCGACGCCCAACACACAAAACAAGCGGUGAGUGCUUUGGGGUGGGGUGACUGCGUACCUUUUGUAUAAUGGGUCAGCGACUUAUAUUCUGUAGCAAGGUUAACCGAAUAGGGGAGCCGGAGGGAAACCGAGUCUUAAUUGGGCGUUAAGUUGCAGGGUAUAGACCCGAAACCCGGUGAUCUAGCCAUGGGCAGGUUGAAGGUUGGGUAACACUAACUGGAGGACCGAACCGACUAAUGUUGAAAAAUUAGCGGAUGACCUGUGGCUGGGGGUGAAAGGCCAAUCAAACCGGGAGAUAGCUGGUUCUCCCCGAAAGCUAUUUAGGUAGCGCCUCGUGAACUCAUCUCCGGGGGUAGAGCACUGUUUCGGCUAGGGGGCCAUCCCGGCUUACCAACCCGAUGCAAACUGCGAAUACCGGAGAAUGUUAUCACGGGAGACACACGGCGGGUGCUAACGUCCGUCGUGAAGAGGGAAACAACCCAGACCGCCAGCUAAGGUCCCAAAGUCAUGGUUAAGUGGGAAACGAUGUGGGAAGGCCCAGACAGCCAGGAUGUUGGCUUAGAAGCAGCCAUCAUUUAAAGAAAGCGUAAUAGCUCACUGGUCGAGUCGGCCUGCGCGGAAGAUGUAACGGGGCUAAACCAUGCACCGAAGCUGCGGCAGCGACGCUGAUGCGUUGUUGGGUAGGGGAGCGUUCUGUAAGCCUGCGAAGGUGGCCUGUGAGGGUUGCUGGAGGUAUCAGAAGUGCGAAUGCUGACAUAAGUAACGAUAAAGCGGGUGAAAAGCCCGCUCGCCGGAAGACCAAGGGUUCCUGUCCAACGUUAAUCGGGGCAGGGUGAGUCGACCCCUAAGGCGAGGCCGAAAGGCGUAGUCGAUGGGAAACGGGUUAAUAUUCCCGUACUUGGUGUUACUGCGAAGGGGGGACGGAGAAGGCUAUGUUGGCCGGGCGACGGUUGUCCCGGUUUAAGCGUGUAGGUGUGUGUUCCAGGUAAAUCCGGUUCACUUUAACACUGAGGCGUGACGACGAGGCACUACGGUGCUGAAGCAACAAAUGCCCUGCUUCCAGGAAAAGCCUCUAAGCAUCAGGUAACAUCAAAUCGUACCCCAAACCGACACAGGUGGUCAGGUAGAGAAUACCAAGGCGCUUGAGAGAACUCGGGUGAAGGAACUAGGCAAAAUGGUGCCGUAACUUCGGGAGAAGGCACGCUGACACGUAGGUGAAGUGAUUUACUCAUGGAGCUGAAGUCAGUCGAAGAUACCAGCUGGCUGCAACUGUUUAUUAAAAACACAGCACUGUGCAAACACGAAAGUGGACGUAUACGGUGUGACGCCUGCCCGGUGCCGGAAGGUUAAUUGAUGGGGUCAGCGCAAGCGAAGCUCCUGAUCGAAGCCCCGGUAAACGGCGGCCGUAACUAUAACGGUCCUAAGGUAGCGAAAUUCCUUGUCGGGUAAGUUCCGACCUGCACGAAUGGCGUAAUGAUGGCCAGGCUGUCUCCACCCGAGACUCAGUGAAAUUGAACUCGCUGUGAAGAUGCAGUGUACCCGCGGCAAGACGGAAAGACCCCGUGAACCUUUACUAUAGCUUGACACUGAACAUUGAGCCUUGAUGUGUAGGAUAGGUGGGAGGCUUUGAAGUGUGGACGCCAGUCUGCAUGGAGCCGACCUUGAAAUACCACCCUUUAAUGUUUGAUGUUCUAACGUGGACCCGUAAUCCGGGUUGCGGACAGUGUCUGGUGGGUAGUUUGACUGGGGCGGUCUCCUCCUAAAGAGUAACGGAGGAGCACGAAGGUUGGCUAAUCCUGGUCGGACAUCAGGAGGUUAGUGCAAUGGCAUAAGCCAGCUUGACUGCGAGCGUGACGGCGCGAGCAGGUGCGAAAGCAGGUCAUAGUGAUCCGGUGGUUCUGAAUGGAAGGGCCAUCGCUCAACGGAUAAAAGGUACUCCGGGGAUAACAGGCUGAUACCGCCCAAGAGUUCAUAUCGACGGCGGUGUUUGGCACCUCGAUGUCGGCUCAUCACAUCCUGGGGCUGAAGUAGGUCCCAAGGGUAUGGCUGUUCGCCAUUUAAAGUGGUACGCGAGCUGGGUUUAGAACGUCGUGAGACAGUUCGGUCCCUAUCUGCCGUGGGCGCUGGAGAACUGAGGGGGGCUGCUCCUAGUACGAGAGGACCGGAGUGGACGCAUCACUGGUGUUCGGGUUGUCAUGCCAAUGGCACUGCCCGGUAGCUAAAUGCGGAAGAGAUAAGUGCUGAAAGCAUCUAAGCACGAAACUUGCCCCGAGAUGAGUUCUCCCUGAGACUUAGAGUCUCCUGAAGGAACGUUGAAGACGACGACGUUGAUAGGCCGGGUGUGUAAGCGCAGCGAUGCGUUGAGCUAACCGGUACUAAUGAACCGUGAGGCUUAACCUU